GACGAACGCUGGCGGCGUGCUUAACACAUGCAAGUCGAGCGAUGAAGCUCCUUCGGGAGUGGAUUAGCGGCGGACGGGUGAGUAACACGUAGGCAACCUGCCUUAUAGAGAGGAAUAGCCAUCCGAAAGGAUGAUUAAUACCUCAUAAUAUUGUAGCUUCGCAUGGAGCAACAAUCAAAGGAGCAAUCCACUAUAAGAUGGGCCCGCGGCGCAUUAGCUAGUUGGUGAGGUAACGGCUCACCAAGGCGACGAUGCGUAGCCGACCUGAGAGGGUGAUCGGCCACAUUGGGACUGAGACACGGCCCAGACUCCUACGGGAGGCAGCAGUGGGGAAUAUUGCACAAUGGGGGAAACCCUGAUGCAGCAACGCCGCGUGAGUGAUGACGGCCUUCUGGUUGUAAAGCUCUGUCUUCAGGGACGAUAAUGACGGUACCUGAGGAGGAAGCCACGGCUAACUACGUGCCAGCAGCCGCGGUAACAC
rnacentral:rRNA from 1 species